rnacentral:rRNA from 1 species
CCGCAUGGCGUGUGCUAUAAUGCAGUCGAGCGAACGGACGAGAAGCUUGCUUCUCUGAUGUUAGCGGCGGACGGGUGAGUAACACGUGGAUAACCUACCUAUAAGACUGGGAUAACUUCGGGAAACCGGAGCUAAUACCGGAUAAUAUUUUGAACCGCAUGGUUCAAAAGUGAAAGACGGUCUUGCUGUCACUUAUAGAUGGAUCCGCGCUGCAUUAGCUAGUUGGUAAGGUAACGGCUUACCAAGGCAACGAUGCAUAGCCGACCUGAGAGGGUGAUCGGCCACACUGGAACUGAGACACGGUCCAGACUCCUACGGGAGGCAGCAGUAGGGAAUCUUCCGCAAUGGGCGAAAGCCUGACGGAGCAACGCCGCGUGAGUGAUGAAGGUCUUCGGAUCGUAAAACUCUGUUAUUAGGGAAGAACAUAUGUGUAAGUAACUGUGCACAUCUUGACGGUACCUAAUCAGAAAGCCACGGCUAACUACGUGCCAGCAGCCGCGGUAAUACGUAGGUGGCAAGCGUUAUCCGGAAUUAUUGGGCGUAAAGCGCGCGUAGGCGGUUUUUUAAGUCUGAUGUGAAAGCCCACGGCUCAACCGUGGAGGGUCAUUGGAAACUGGAAAACUUGAGUGCAGAAGAGGAAAGUGGAAUUCCAUGUGUAGCGGUGAAAUGCGCAGAGAUAUGGAGGAACACCAGUGGCGAAGGCGACUUUCUGGUCUGUAACUGACGCUGAUGUGCGAAAGCGUGGGGAUCAAACAGGAUUAGAUACCCUGGUAGUCCACGCCGUAAACGAUGAGUGCUAAGUGUUAGGGGGUUUCCGCCCCUUAGUGCUGCAGCUAACGCAUUAAGCACUCCGCCUGGGGAGUACGACCGCAAGGUUGAAACUCAAGAAAUUUGACGGG